UACGAAGGGGGCGAGCGUUGUUCGGAAUUACUGGGCGUAAAGGGCGCGUAGGCGGCGAACCAAGUCAGAUGUGAAAGUCCUGGGCUUAACCUGGGGACUGCAUUUGAUACUGGUUUGCUUGAAUUCGGGAGAGGAUAGCGGAAUUCCCAGUGUAGAGGUGAAAUUCGUAGAUAUUGGGAAGAACACCGGUGGCGAAGGCGGCUAUCUGGACCGACAUUGACGCUGAGGCGCGAAAGCGUGGGGAGCAAACAGG
rnacentral:rRNA from 2 species